AGUGUAUCUAUACAUCGCAAUCGGAGCAUUGACACCACCCAAAUUUGAACGUAGCUUUACAUAAGAAUUCAGAAGGCAAUGAAAUAUCAACAGUCAAUGAAGAACAUGAUUAAAUACAGAAAGUGACCUGGACAUUUCCUAGUGAUAGAUUGGAAUACGUGAGUUUCAUAACUAGAUACAGAAGGGAACCUGUGUUACAAAGAUCGAGGUAGAUGUUGAAGUAAAAGACAA